rnacentral:rRNA from 1 species
AACGAACGCUGGCGGCAGGCUUAACACAUGCAAGUCGAGCGCCCCGCAAGGGGAGCGGCAGACGGGUGAGUAACGCGUGGGAAUCUACCUAGCUCUACGAAAUAACCCAGGGAAACUUGGACUAAUACCGUAUACGUCCUUCGGGAGAAAGAUUUAUCGGCGUUAGAUGAGCCCGCGUUGGAUUAGCUAGUUGGUGGGGUAAUGGCCUACCAAGGCGACGAUCCAUAGCUGGUCUGAGAGGAUGAUCAGCCACACUGGGACUGAGACACGGCCCAGACUCCUACGGGAGGCAGCAGUGGGGAAUAUUGGACAAUGGGCGCAAGCCUGAUCCAGCCAUGCCGCGUGAGUGAUGAAGGCCCUAGGGUUGUAAAGCUCUUUCACCGGUGAAGAUAAUGACGGUAACCGGAGAAGAAGCCCCGGCUAACUUCGUGCCAGCCGCCGCCGUAAGAC